rnacentral:rRNA from 1 species
AUGAGUUGCAUAAGUUGGAACUGCCGGGGGCUUGGGAACCCCGAGGCAGUUCGCGAGCUUCGCAAUGUAGUGAAGCAAGAAGGGCAUGUGCUGGUUUUUGUCAUGGAGACGAAUAUCAGAGGAAAGCGAGUCGAGGAUCUGCAGCAUACUCUAGGGUUUGCGGGCAGUUUUGCAGUGGACAGUUCUGGUCUAAAGACAUUAAUGUUGAGCUUAAAAACUUCAACAGCAGUCAUAUUGAUGUGGUGGUAA